CCUACGGGAGGCAGCAGGGGGGAAUAUUGCGCAAUGGGCGAAAGCCUGACGCAGCGACGCCGCGUGAGGGAUGAAGGUCUUCGGAUCGUAAACCUCUGUCAGCAGGGAAGAAAGGUCACUGUGCUAAUCAGCCGUGAAUUGACGGUACCUGCAAAGGAAGCACCGGUUAACUCCGUGCCAGCAGCCGCGGUAAUACGGAGGGUGCGAGCCUUAAUCGGAAUUACUGGGCGUAAAGCGCUCGUAGGCGGUAUGUCAAGUCAAGGGUGAAAUCCCCGCGCUCAACGUGGGAACUGCCUUUGAAACUGGCAAACUGGAGUGUGUGAGAGGAUAGUGGAAUUCCAGGUGUAGGAGUGAAAUCCGUAGAUAUCUGGAGGAACAUCAGUGGCGAAGGCGACUAUCUGGCACAUAACUGACGCUGAGGAGCGAAAGCGUGGGUAGCAAACAGGAUUAGAUACCCCAGUAGUC
rnacentral:rRNA from 1 species